rnacentral:rRNA from 1 species
GAAUCCCGUCUUUGACAUGGACCACCAGCGCAUUGUGGUUGUGCUCUCAACGAGUCGAGUUGUUUGGGAAUGCAGCUCUAAAUGGGUGGUAAAUUCCAUCUAAAGCUAAAUAUUGGCGAGAGACCGAUAGCGAACAAGUACCGUGAGGGAAAGAUGAAAAGAACUUUGGAAAGAGAGUUAAACAGUAUGUGAAAUUGUUGAAAGGGAAACGUUUGAAGUCAGUCGCGUUGGUUGGGGAUCAGCCUGACAUUGUUGGGUUUACUUCCUGGUCGACGGGCCAACAUCAGUUUUGACUGCCAGAAAAAGGCCAAAGGAAUGUGGCACCUUUGGGUGUGUUAUAGCCCUUGGUCGUAUAUGGUGGUUGGGACUGAGGAAAGCAGCGUGCCGAAAGGCCGGGUUUCGACCACGUUCACGCUGAGGAUGUUGGCAUAAUGGCUUUAAGCGACCCGUCUUGAAACACGGACCAAGGAGUCUAACAUGCAUGCGAGUGUUUGGGUGGAAAACCCUUACGCGUAAUGAAAGUGAAAGUUGAGAUCCCUGUCGCGGGGAGCAUCGACGCCCGGACCAGAACUUUUGGGACGGAUCUGCGGUAGAGCACGUAUGUUGGGACCCGAAAGAUGGUGAACUAUGCCUGAAUAGGGUGAAGCCAGAGGAAACUCUGGUGGAGGCUCGUAGCGAUUCUGACGUGCAAAUCGAUCGUCAAAUUUGGGUAUAGGGGCGAAAGACUAAUCGAACCAUCUAGUAGCUGGUUCCUGCC